rnacentral:lncRNA from 1 species
CCCUACUGUGCGCUGGGCAUUACCAGCCCUGGAGACAAAGGCACAGAGUGGGUGAGGGGCCCAGGUGAGCACACAGGAAAGACAGGUAAACAACUGGUAUCUCUUAAGGGUUCAGUAUGAACAGGCGGUCCCAGGGAGCAGAUAAAAUGCUCACCACUGGGGUAGAGGAAGAAGAUGAGGCAGAAGAGAUGCAGAGACCAUGUCACAAAGAGGUCUGGCACAUCACGGAAGAUGGGUGUGGUCUCCCCAGCGGCAGGAAGCCGGGCUGGUAAAGCAGAAAAGGGUGGCAGUGGCCCGCUCAGAGCCAGUUUGCAGGGAGAGGCUGAGGAAACAAGUGCAGAGCUGGCUUCGCCAUGCCGUCAGAAAUGACUGCGCAGCCCACGAGGGAUAAGAAGGAAGGCAAGGGGCCAUCUGUAAGGGCCAGCUGUGCCAACACGAGAUGGCCCUCCAGCGUGACUGCCUGAAACUCUUCCGAGGCCACGCCCGGGCACAGGCCACGCUGAACCUUGAACCUCUUGCAGGGGUCCAGCCUGUCUCUGGCCCGCACUGAUGCCAUGUCUUCACUGGGCUGGGCCCCAGCUCUGCGACUUAACUUCUCCAAGCACAGCAUCCUCCUCUGUGGAAUGACGACCAAGGAUGAAAGGACCAUUUACCCCAUGAAAUGGAGGGAGAAAGAAAGUGAGACAGCUUGAAGAUGUUUGGCACGGGGCUUGAGACAUUAAGAAGAAAGAAGAAAUGGCAGCUGCUGUCCGUUAUGGCCGCCCCCAAAUGCGGUGAGGUUACUGUGCCCUGCGGUGAUCUGGAACAAACUCCUGCGCAGGGCUCACAACUGAAGAUGCCACCCUGUGAGGAGGCUGCUGCACAUCUGGCCCAGGAGAGAAGAGCAUCCUGCCAACGUCCAGUGCUUCCUUCUACAAAUGGGAAACGAAUGUGCACAUCUGCCAUCUAUGCCAUAUUUGUUUUGUUUUGUUUUUUUCCGAUACUGGGAAUCGAACUCACGACCUUGUGCUUGCCAGCUGCUGGACGCUGGCACCCCUCUGCUGCCAUAAAAAUAUCAGCACUGCCACCCCAGCUCCUGGAGGAAGUCUCAGUAUGACAGCCUGCAAAGUGAUCCUGCAUCUGAAUUUCAUCGACAAAUCCUGGUUUCCUCCAGACAAGUGCAAACCUGCACAGAUGGCCCCUCACACCAAAAAGUAAAAAUAACAAAGCUUGCAAUCCUGGGCCUCGCUUUUUCUCUGGGCAGAUGUGCCGGCUGCACAUUUUGGGAGGCGCACCGUCUGCAGCCCAGCAGCAGCCUCUCUCCUCCUGUGCAUCCUUACUCCCCUUCUGGCUUGCUGGUGGGUAGCAGCUGUGGCCGUUUAGGGUGUAUUCUUGGAAGCACACAGAGUGCCUGUGCCCUAGAAACGAGGCUGAGGCAUCCAAAAGGAUGCAUUAGUGCUCACCUGACUCCCUAAGACUGGCCGUGUUGUCACCCCCGCAAUACCCAGGGAAGGGGCUGAAAGGCUGCCGAUCAGCCGAAGUGGAAGGCAAGGAGCUGCCGUGCUAUGGGACAGUACAGGCUAAGGGCGGAUGGCAGUGUGGGAAAGGAAGCACUGGGGGAUCCUGACUUUUUGAACCUUACAAACCCCAACAAAGCACAGGAGCUUCCAGGACUCAUGAACUCUUUCCACAAACAUGGGCUGAGAUGCUCCAUUCUACGGCCUGUGGAUUUUGCUACGUAAAAGAAAAACCCAGAAAGCAGAUGUCCAGAGAACACAGUCACAAACCCCUGUGGGCUGGGUGGCUACAGAUUCACUGGCCAGGAGGCCCAGGCAGCAGCAGCCCAAGUCAGAGACAUCACAGGAGAUGCUCGCAGGCCAGUUCCACCUCAGAUGAGCCAUAUGACCUGGAGCCUCCGGUCUCAUUUAGAAAUGAUGGCUACUGUCUCUAGUUAACCAGAGGUUCAGAUGAGAUAAAGUGUAGCUGUAAAUAAAGCACAAUUUAAACUGCUAG